rnacentral:misc_RNA from 1 species
UCCGGUUUGUCACCGGCAGUCUCCUAUGAGUCCCCACCAUUACGUGCUGGCAACAUAGAACGAGGGUUGCGCUCGUUGCGGGACUUAGCCCAACAUCUCACGACACGAGCUGACGACAGCCAUGCAGCACCUGUGUUACGGCUCUCUUUCGAGCACGAAGCUAUCUCUAGCGACUUCCGUACAUGUCAAAGGUGGGUAAGGUUUUUCGCGUUGCAUCGAAUUAAUCCACAUAAUCCACCGCUUGUGCGGGUCCCCGUCAAUUCCUUUGAGUUUUAACCUUGCGGCCGUACUCCCCAGGCGGUCGACUUCACGCGUUAGCUUCGUUACUGAGAGUGUCAAACCCCCAACAACCAGUCGACAUCGUUUAGGGCGUGGACUAC